rnacentral:rRNA from 1 species
CCGGACCUGACUGCUAUCGGAUUGAUACUAAGCCAUGCGAGUCAUUGUAGCAAUACAAGGCGGACGGCUCAGUAACGCGUAGUCAACCUAACCUAUGGACGGGAAUAACCUCGGGAAACUGAGAAUAAUGCCCGAUAGAACACUAUACCUGGAAUGGUUUGUGUUCCAAAUGAUUUAUCGCCGUAGGAUGGGACUGCGGCCUAUCAGUUUGUUGGUGAGGUAAUGGCCCACCAAGACUAUUACAGGUACGGGCUCUGAGAGGAGUAGCCCGGAGAUGGGUACUGAGACACGGACCCAGGCCCCAUGGGGCGCAGCAGGCGAGAAAACUUUGCAAUGUGCGAAAGCACGACAAGGUUAAUCCGAGUGGUUUCUGCUAAAGGAACCUUUUGUCGGUCCUAGAAACACCGAUAAUAAGGGG